rnacentral:rRNA from 1 species
CCCUUAGAUGUUCUGGGCCGCACGCGCGCUACACUGAUGCAUUCAACGAGUCUAAAACCUGCUCUGAUAGGGGUGGGUAAUCUUUUGAAUGUGCAUCGUGAUUGGGAUAGAUGAUUGCAAUUUUUCAUCUUCAACGAGGAAUGCCUGGUAAACGCAAGUCAUCAGCUUGCAUUGAUUACGUCCCUGCCCUUUGUACACACCGCCCGUCGCUCCUACCGAUUGAAUGAUCCGAUGAAUAUCAUGGAUUGAGGAUGCAAGCAGGUUCGCCUGUCUUCAUCUUCGAGAAGUGAAGUAAAUCUUAUCAUUUAGAGGAAGGAGAAGUCGUAACA